ACAAAACCAUGUGGAGUUUGAAAGACAUGGUCAAUGAGUCCCAUGUUGAAUUACAGAGGUCACAGGAAAAUUUCAGUGAUGCUUUUCAGAGUGUGCAGAACUAACUCUUAAAUAAAUGGGUACCAUGACCGGAAGGGAAAAGUCAGUCUGCUUAGCUUGCCUCUAUGCAGGAAAAACCCAGACAGAAAAUUAUAACUGAGCCUGUUCCCCCUAACUCAGUGGAGUCACAGGAGGGCCGUACGACUGCUAGCAGGGCCAGGAGAGCGCCACUGCAUUUCAGGGAAACGGGGUAGUUCAGGGUCAUGGUAGGGUAAAGGCAAAGAAGCACAAGUAAAUGCUUAUAAUAGUGUGUUCCAAACAAUAAAACCUCAUGGUUUCCUGUGUCUGAUCCAUAUCCACCCUUACACUGUUUGGUUGGGAAGGUGGAUUUCAUUCAUUGUUUGGGUUCAUUUUUCUGUUUGUUUUUCCUGCCGCUUGCAGCAUGGGGCCGAGGGGAGGGGUUGGCAAUCUCUCUUGUACAGCUAUACAGUGGGGAUUCAGAGGUAAAUAGGGGGGCUGCCUGGGUGGGUCACAACACACAGGUGCUGGCCUGCACACUAGCAUUUUGCAAAGGCAGCACCCAAUCUGGAAAGUCACUUUUGAGGUCAUCUUGUUUCUGAUUUCACUUCCCUUAGUUGGGAGAAGGGAAGUGGUGUAUCACCCCCCAGCAGCCUGGAUUGCUUUUUGGCAAGCCAGACUGCAAAGUCAUCCACAGGUGUUCAUGCCUUCCCAGUUGGGUCUGCCUAUGGUGUGUGGUAGUGAGGCUCUUUGGCUCACUUUUCACAACCCUUGCAUUUUCCCUAGAUGGAAACUUUGUAAAUGAGCUUUUUCAGCACUCUUUUUGCACUCCUUUCUAGCCAGGUGCCAGGCAGUGUCUC